rnacentral:lncRNA from 1 species
UAGAAGAGGAUUCAGUCAAGACCGAACGGUUUGGGGGAGGACCGAACGGUACUAAUGACCUGCGAUCACCGAUUCCAGAAUUUCACUAAGUUUAAUAAAUUUAUCCUAGGUUCCUAACCAAUAUCAAACAUAUCAUAGAACAACAUACAAUAUUUCAACAUACCAAAAAUCAUCAAACAUACCCAUAUUAAAUCAUGCAUCCAUACAUACAAAGUAAUCAUAAUUAAACCUUAUAAUUUCCCUUACCUCUAAUUCCAG